rnacentral:rRNA from 1 species
ACUCAAAUGAAUAGACGGGGGCUCACACAAGCGGUGGAGCAUGUGGCUUAAUUCGAAGCAACGCGAAGAACCUUACCCGGGUUUGACAUGCUAGGAUUAGCUCCGUGAAAGCGGAGUGACGCGGCUUGCCGUGGAACUAGCACAGGUGCUGCAUGGCUGUCGUCAGCUCGUGUCGUGAGAUGUCGGGUUAAGUCCCCUAACGAGCGAAACCCUUAUCGUUAGUUGCCAGCGCGUAAUGGCGGGCACUUUAGCGAGACUGCCGGUGUUAAACCGGAGGAAGGUGGGGAUGACGUCAAGUCCUCAUGGCCUUUAUGCCCGGGGUUGCACACGUGCUACAAUGGGAUGGUACAAAGCGAUGCGAUGCCGCGAGGCCGAGCAAAUCGCAGAAAACUUCCCUCAGUUCGGAUUGCAGGCUGCAAUUCGCCUGCAUGAAGCUGGAAUCGCUAGUAAUCGCGCAUCAGCUAUGGCGCGGUGAAUAUGUUCCUGAGCCUUGUACACACCGCCCGU